GACAGAGGCCUCGAGCGUUAGGCGGAAUCACUGGGCUUAAAGCGUGUGUAGGCGGGCCCGUAAGUGUCUUGUGAAAUCCCACGGCUCAACCGUGGAACUGCUGGGCAUACUGCGGGUCUGGGCCAACUAGGGGCAGCCGGAACAAGCGGUGGAGCGGUGAAAUGCGUAGAUAUCGCUUGGAACGCCGAAGGUGAAAAACAGGGCUGC
rnacentral:rRNA from 1 species